rnacentral:rRNA from 1 species
GAUGAACGCUAGCUACAGGCUUAACACAUGCAAGUCGAGGGGCAGCAUGAAAGGAACUUCGGUUCUUUUUGAUGGCGACCGGCGCACGGGUGCGUAACGCGUAUCGAACCUGCCUCAUACUCGGGGAUAGCCUUGCGAAAGUAAGAUUAAUACCCGGCGGUCUCGGAUGGCCGCAUGACUAUCCGAGUGAAGAUUUAUCGGUAUGAGAUGGCGAUGCGUCCCAUUAGCUAGUUGGUGAGGUAACGGCUCACCAAGGCAUCGAUGGGUAGGGGUUCUGAGAGGAAGGUCCCCCGCAUUGGAACUGAGACACGGUCCAAACUCCUACGGGAGGCAGCAGUGAGGAAUAUUGGUCAAUGGACGCAAGUCUGAACCAGCCAAGUAGCGUGCAGGAAGACGGCCCUCUGGGUUGUAAACUGCUUUUAGUUGGGAAUAAAAAGAGGGACGUGUCCCUUAUUGUAUGUACCAUCAGAAAAAGGACCGGCUAAUUCCGUGCCAGCAGCCGCGGUAAUACGGAAGGUCCAGGCGUUAUCCGGAUUUAUUGGGUUUAAAGGGAGCGCAGGCGGCGGCGUAAGUCAGUUGUGAAAUCGUGCGGCUUAACCGUGCAAUUGCAGUUGAUACUGCGUCGCUUGAGUGCACACAGGGAUGUUGGAAUUCAUGGUGUAGCGGUGAAAUGCUUAGAUAUCAUGAAGAACUCCGAUCGCGAAGGCAUAUGUCCGGAGUGCAACUGACGCUGAGGCUCGAAAGUGUGGGUAUCAAAACA